AUCAGCAUUAUUGUAUUUCAAUUGUUAGCUUUGUCGCUUAAUUAUAACAAAAGGUUUUCUUUUACCUAUUUUAGCUUGUAUAUAUAUAAUAUUUUUUAGUCCAAAUUAAUGAAAAUUUAGGGAUCCACAAUAGAUAUUAAAAAUAAAAAAAAAGAAUUCUACUAUACAUAAAAGGGAAUGCAUAAUUUAAGAAGGUGUGAUUUUGUAGUCACCGUCUAAUUAGGAAGAUUUAGAUUUAUGACUUAUAAAGACACCUAAAAUUUAUGUACAUUUUCAAUUUCCUAAAAAAUAGUAUAACUUUUCAAUAUAGGUUUUAUUAUAAAAAAAAAAUAUUUGAAAUGAAUUGAAACAAAAAAAAAAACAGAUUAAGCGUGACUUAACAUGAAGAUUAAAUUAAAAUUUUAAAAUUAAGAAAAGUGUUUUGUCUCGGUUUUGAAGAAGCUUGUUUCGUACACCGCUUGACCGUUU
rnacentral:lncRNA from 1 species